CAAUACCACCCUGAAAGCACCCAAUCUAGUCUUCUUUCAGAAGCUGAGCAGGGUCAGGCCUGGUUAACACUUGGAUGGGAGAAGAGAGCUGGUCUAUUGU
rnacentral:rRNA from 1 species